rnacentral:rRNA from 1 species
CUAUGCGCCUUGCCAGCCCGCUCAGUCAGAGUUUGAUCCUGGCUCAGGAUGAACGCUGGCGGCGUGCCUAACACAUGCAAGUCGAACGGACGAGAGGAGCUUGCUCCUCAAGUUAGUGGCGGACGGGUGAGUAAUGUAUGAGCAACCUGCCUUUCAGAGGGGGACAACAGUUGGAAACGACUGCUAAUACCGCAUAACAUAUUGAUGGGGCAUCCCGUUGAUAUCAAAGGAGCAAUCCGCUGAAAGAUGGGCUCAUAUCUGAUUAGUUAGUUGGUGAGGUAACGGCUCACCAAGACUGCGAUCAGUAGCCGGACUGAGAGGUUGAACGGCCACAUUGGGACUGAGAUACGGCCCAG